GGCGGAAUCCUAGCCAAGCAUAGCCAAGCAACUACUUCCAUAAUGGCGUGUGUGCGGGAAGCUUGUGGUUUCGUGUUUUGUGUUACAGAAAAGGGGCGUUUAUUGCCUCUAGUAGCCGUUUAUACGUCGCCUGGUCGCCUGGUACUCAGCAGCAUGAUGCUGCUGAGCACUGCCCUUGCUCCACAUCGAAAGCUGGCAAAACCGUCUUACUUCAGAACUUUGUCAGGGGAAUCGUGAUGUACUCUUGGCAAUUCCUUGCCCUGGAUGGUCAUCACAUGAACCCUAAGGGAUCUCGUGCGCUUGGCUCUCGUUACCGGAGCAUUCUGACGCAUCAUGCCGUACCUUGCUCUUCUGUUCCUUCUCUGCUGCCUGUCCACGGGGAAGAUUUCCCCACUCUGGCUGCCUCCUGUGCUACAGCUGCAAGCUCCAGUGGCUCCCCUGAGUCGGAGACGUCUAGUAAGUGCAAUGAACCUCGGACGGACCUUCAACCUCUUCAGUCUUCAUCGAGCCAAGUUCAGCCUCAACUACAGACAUCUACCCCGUGCCAGAAGUAAGGCCAUCCGUAGAAUCUUCACCCCAACAGAGCCGAACUGAGAACGGUUAUCCUGCGCUGCAACCAGAGACAUCGUUGGGCCAAAAACGAAACAUCGCUAGGAAACAACGCCAAUUGACCAAAAAGGGAAGCCAACAGACAUCAGUGGAUCAGUCUCCGGACGUUACCAUCGGUCUUGCAAGCCAGAACAAUUUUGCUGAAGAAAACCCUGUGCAGCAGGACAUCCCAGUGAGUCUGGAUAAUGCAAGCAACGAAAGCAGGGAGGUGGUCCCACUGUCAGCCUGGGCCCCAGCCAAAGGUGACGACUUCAAAUCUGCAGAGCUAAGAAAACUUCUCCAUGAUGCCCAGAGACAGAAAGAUGACCUUGAGUUGAAGCAGACAGCUUCUCGAAACACAGUGAAGGAACUUCGAAGAAGGGCAGCAGCUUUAGAAGAGCAGUUGCAGGAACUCCUAAACAUGCCCUUUCUAAAUGAAGAUCAGAAGGCAGCUCUUCAACCACACAACAAGGGCAACGCAUGAGCAUUUACAGCGAACGGGAACAAGUAAAUCCUACCUGCUAGCACGUGCACCGGUGUUUUUCAUGCUCCUGAGCUGGUCGGGUGCCAGGUACCUCUUCGUGCUUUCUGAAAAGAGUCAACAUCAAGCACUGGAACCACAAGCACUAUCAAGUACAUGAAGCAGUGGACACUUUCAGGAGCCUCCAGGUUGUGCUCCAGUUAAAGGACUUCCUUCUGUGCAACAUUCAGCCAGCAUUUCAAAUCAUCAAUCAGGAACUCGUGCUGGCACGGUAUCCAACCGCAGUACAGCCAUUCCUGACAUGGCGAUAUGAAACAUGCAUCGUCGGAGCCUGGCAGCAUUACU